UACAGAGGUGGCAAGCGUUGUUCGGAAUUACUGGGCGUAAAGGGCGCGUAGGCGGCCUUCUAAGUCAGACGUGAAAUCCCCAGGCUUAACUUGGGAACUGCGUCUGAUACUGGGAGGCUUGAGUGCGGGAGAGGGAUGUGGAAUUCCAGGUGUAGCGGUGAAAUGCGUAGAUAUCUGGAGGAACACCGGUGGCGAAGGCGGCAUCCUGGACCGGCAUUGACGCUGAGGAGCGAAAGCCAGGGGAGCAAACGGG
rnacentral:rRNA from 1 species